AAAUGCAGGAGGGCUGUGUUCACGCAGCCCAAAAGUGCUUGUAGUGCAGGUAGUGGUAUUGAAACCUACUGCAGAACAAUCACUUUCAGCGCUACCUGAAUACAUGCGCCUGGACCACCU
rnacentral:precursor_RNA from 17 species